rnacentral:rRNA from 1 species
GUGCCAGCAGCCGCGGUAAUACCGGCAGCUCGAGUGAUGGCCAAUCUUAUUGGGCCUAAAGCGUCCGUAGCUGGCCGCGCAAGUCCGUCGGGAAAUCCAUCAGCCCAGCGGGUGGGCGUCCGGUAGAAACUGGCCGGCUUGGAACCGGAAGGCUCAGAGAGUACGUCCGGGGUAGGAGUGAAAUCCCGUAAUCCCGGACGGACUACCGAUGGCGAAAGCACUCUGAGAAGACGGCUUCGACAGUGAGGGACGAAAGCUCGGGUCUCAAACCGGAUUAGAAACCCUGGUAGUCC